rnacentral:lncRNA from 1 species
UUUUAUUUGGUCUUUUCUGCAAAUUUCGAGUUGACCUGCACACUGAAAGCAUUAAAAACAAUUAAUGAUCCUAGAACCAACCUUAAUGUGUUUGAAUUGCAAUCCUGUAAUAGAAACACCAAAUAGUCCUACCAACUUGUCCCCCAUAGCUGCUAUAAAAUGGCUCGAGCUAAACUCUACUGAUUCCAGUUUUGAGGGAGAAGAUGAACAGCAAUGUCAUCUUGUCACCAGGUUAUUUAUUCCAGAUUUUUAUGUAUGAGUUUAAAAACUAAACGUCUACUCUAUCGUUUGAGUUAAUUGAGUUGAAUUCGUAAGUUUGGCUCAAGUUCCUUAUUCGAAUUGUGAUUCCCCUGCUUCUGGUUCAGUAUGCACUUGAGAACCAUCUGCUUCUGGUUCAAUAUGCACUUGAGAACCAUAUGCUUCCAUUUCUUGUUUGUAUUUUUCUUCCUACUUGUUUUGGUAGCAUGAAUCCCUUGAGUAUCUUGUUCAAGAUCACGCAGUUGGUAGUGU